GGUUCGAUCAUGACUCAGAUUGAACGCUGGCGGGAUGCUUUACACAUGCAAGUCGAACGGCAGCACGGACUUCGGUCUGGUGGCGAGUGGCGAACGGGUGAGUAAUGUAUCGGAACGUGCCUAGUAGCGGGGGAUAAUCUGCUACGCGAAAGCGUAGCCACACCGCAUACGCCCUUCGGGGGAAAGCGGGGGACCUUCGGGCCUCGCACUAUUAGAGCGGCCGAUAUCGGAUUAGCUUAGUCGCGGGGUAACGGCUCACCAAGGCGACGAUCCGUAGCUGGUUUGAGAGGACGACCAGCCACACUGGGACUGAGACACGGCCCAGACUCCUACGGGAGGCAGCAGGAAAGGGAAUUUUGGACAAUGGGGGAAACCCCGAUCCAGCCAUCCCGCGUGUGUGAUGAAGGCCUUCGGGUUGUAAAGCACUUUUGGGCAGUGGAGAAGAAACGGCACGGGAUAAUACCCCGUGCAACUGACGGUACCUGCAGAAUAAGCACCGGCUAACUACGCCAGCAGCCGCGGUAAUACGUAGGGUGCAAGCGUUAAUCGGAAUUACUACUGGGCGCAAGCGUGCGCAGGCGGUUCGGAAAGAAAGAUGUGAAAUCCCAGAGCUUAACUUUGGAACUGCAUUUUUAACUACCGAGCUAGAGUGUGUCAGAGGGAGGUGGAAUUCCGCGUGUAGCAGUGAAAUGCGUAGAUAUGUGAGGAACACCCCGACGGCGAAGGCAGCCUCCUGGGAUAACACUGACGUCAUGCACGAAAGCGUGGGGAGCAAACAGGAUUAGGUACCCUGGUAGUCCACGCCCUAAACGAUGUCAACUAGCUUUCGUUGGGGCCUUCGGGCCUUGGUAGCGCAGCUAACGCGUGAAGUUGACCGCCUGGGGAGUACGGUCGCAAGAUUAAAACUCAAAGGAAUUGACGGGGGGACCCCGCACAAGCGGUGGGAUGAUGUGGAUUAAUUCGAUGCAACGCGAAAAACCUUACCUACCCUUGACAUGUCUGGAAUCCCGAAGAGAUUUGGGAGUGCUCGCAAGAGAACCGGAACACAGGUGCUGCAUGGCUGUCGUCAGCUCGUGUCGAGAUGCUGGGUUAAGUCCCGCAACGAGCGCGCAACCCUUGUCAUUAGUUGCUACGAAAGCGGGCACCUAUCGAGACUGCCGGGUGUGACAAACCGGAGGAAGGUGGGGAUGACGUCAAGUCCUCAUGGCCCUUAUGGGUAGGGCUUCACAAUGUCAUACAAUGGUCGGGACAGAGGGUCGCCAACCCGCGAGGGGGAGCCAAUCCCAGAAACCCGAUCGUAGUCCGGAUCGCAGGUCUGCAACUCGACUGCGUGAAGUCGGACCGCUAGUAAUCGCGGAUCAGCAUGUCGCGGUGAAUACGUUCCCGGGUCUUGUACACACCGCCCGUCACACCAUGGAGUGGUUUUACCAGAAGUAGUUAGCCUAACCGUAAGGAGGGCGAUUACCACGGUAGGAUUCAUGACUGGGUGAAGUCGUAACAAGGUAG
rnacentral:rRNA from 1 species